CCUACGGGAGGCAGCAGUGGGGAAUUUUGGACAAUGGGCGAAAGCCUGAUCCAGCCAUGCCGCGUGUCUGAAGAAGGCCUUCGGGUUGUAAAGGACUUUUGCCAGGGAGGAAAUCCCUAGUGCUAAUAACACUGGGGGAUGACAGUACCUGAAGAAUAAGCACCGGCUAACUACGUGCCAGCAGCCGCGGUAAUACGUAGGGUGCGAGCGUUAAUCGGAAUUACUGGGCGUAAAGCGUGCGCAGGCGGUUUGAUAAGCCAGAUGUGAAAUCCCCGAGCUCAACUUGGGAACUGCGUUUGGAACUGUCAGACUAGAGUGCGUCAGAGGGGGGUGGAAUUCCACGUGUAGCAGUGAAAUGCGUAGAGAUGUGGAGGAACACCGAUGGCGAAGGCAGCCCCCUGGGAUGACACUGACGCUCAUGCACGAAAGCGUGGGGAGCAAACAGGAUUAGAUACCCUGGUAGUCCACGCCCUAAACGAUGUCAAUUAGCUGUUGGGGGUUAGAAUCCCUGGUAGCGUAGCUAACGCGUGAAAUUGACCGCCUGGGGAGUACGGCCGCAAGGUUAAAACUCAAAGGAAUUGACGG
rnacentral:rRNA from 1 species